rnacentral:tRNA from 1 species
GGAGUUGUAGCUCAGUGGUAGAGCACUCACCUAGCAUGGGUGAGGUACUGGGUUCAAUCCUCAGCACCA